GGAAGGGAAAGCAGCUCCUGGAGGUUGUCAUCUCUUUUGCUGUGCACAGCCCCAUCUGUCAUCUGCACCAUCCCACUCCCUUUUCCAAUUUUCCCUUCUGCAUCAAACUGCCAAAGUCCAUUUUUAUUUUGAUUCCAGCAAGGGGACUGACUUGCUCUGGUUUUUGGGUUUUUUUUAAAUUCAAAAAAAUUUUUUUUUUAUUUUUAGGGCUGUGCCUGGGCAUAUGGAAGUUCCCAGGCUAGGGGUCGAACCAGAGCUACAACUGCCAGCCUACACACAGCCACAGCAACGCAGGAUCCAAGCCGCAUCUGCGACCUACACCACAGCUCACGGCAAUACCAGAUCCUUAACCCACUGAGAGAGGCCAGGGGUUCAAACCCACAUCCUCAUGGGUCCUAGUUCUUUAACCCCUGAGCCACAAAGGGAACUCAGCUCUGUUUUAAUAGUAAGAAACCCUGUUGGUUAUAGCGCCCCCUACUGCCUGCUUCCCAGAUGAGACUUCCUGGGGCAGAAGAAGAGAAUCAGCCUCCCUUGGCUGCAUAAAGAGAUGUGACAUUCAAACCUAGAGCUAAAUGGUUAAACUUUGGCAGGCUUUGUGCAAUGACCUAUGAGGUCAAACUGGCUAACAUUUUCUGAUUAAUCAUUUGCGUGCAGUAACUAACACUUUAAAAACAUGAAAGAGGCAAAGAAAUGAAAUCCUUUGCCGUCCUGGCUACCUAGGGAAAUUUACUAAGAUUCUGGUGAAGGUCCUCUUCCUCUGAUGACAUGGAGGUCUUCUCUUUGUAAAGAACUGCUGGCAACAGAGGCUUUUUGUAAACAGAAUUCAGGAGGGAACUAUGUCGUGAUGGUGCGACUCUGAGCCUAGCAUUCACUGAAUGGCUGCCCUGCCGCAGGUCAGCCCAGAGACAGGGGCGGCAUUUAUCAAAUCUGAAAGCCAAGGGCGAGGGAGUUCCAGAGCAGAGGAGGCCAACUAUGCAAGUGACAGCCACUCUGCAAACAUUAGGUGGGAGGUGCCAAGCUCAAGGCCAGAAGAAGGUUUAGGACUCAGUGGCUCACAGU
rnacentral:lncRNA from 1 species